GCUCUUUGCAUUUUGCGGUCGUCUUUUUCGGAAAUACGCGACGUAGUUGUUGAGUUGAGUCUUCUAUGAAGUAAAGAAACGGUGAACGAAAGAACAACAACAAAUAGAAAAGUGAGAGCAGACGUAUUUUUUUUUAUUGUUAAGCGAAAAAGUGUUGGUGUGUGUCGAGAGUAAGAUAGAGAGGGCGUGAGAUACACACAUCCAAAAAAAAAAAAAAAAGGAGGAACACA
rnacentral:sRNA from 1 species